AGUAAAAGUCGUAACAAGGUUUCCGUAGGUGAACCUGCGGAAGGAUCAUUAACGAGUUUUGAAACGAGUUGUAGCUGGCCUUCCGAGGCAUGUGCACGCUUUGCUCAUCCACUCUACCCCUGUGCACUUACUGUAGGUUGGCGUGGGCUCCUUAACGGGAGCAUUCUGCCGGCCUAUGUAUACUACAAACACUUUAAAGUAUCAGAAUGUAAACGCGUCUAACGCAUCUAUAAUACAACUUUUAGCAACGGAUCUCUUGGCUCUCGCAUCGAUGAAGAACGCAGCGAAAUGCGAUAAGUAAUCUGAAUUGCAGAAUUCAGUGAAUCAUCGAAUCUUUGAACGCACCUUGCGCUCCUUGGUAUUCCGAGGAGCAUGCCUGUUCGAGUGUCAUGGAAUUCUCAACUUAUAAAUCCUUGUGAUCUAUAAGCUUGGACUUGGAGGCUUGCUGGCCCUUGCGGUCGGCUCCUCUUGAAUGCAUUAGCUCGAUUCCGUACGGAUCGGCUCUCAGUGUGAUAAUUGUCUACGCUGUGACCGUGAAGUGUUUUGGCGAGCUUCUAACCGUCCAUUAGGACAACUUUUUAACAUCUGACCUCAAAUCAGGUAGGACUACCCGCUGAACUUAAGCAUAU
rnacentral:rRNA from 1 species